rnacentral:rRNA from 1 species
CCCGUGGCGGCGUGCAAGACAUGCAAGUCGACGGGGUCAUAUGAGAUUAUAUCAAGUGUGGUCCAGUGGCGGACGGGUGCGUAACACGUGAACAAUCUGCCGGAAGGAAGGGGAUAGCCCAUGGAAACGUGGAUUAAUACCCUGUGUGGCCCCAGCAGGCAUCUGCUGGAGGCUAAACGUGGCGCAAGCUGCGGCCUUCCGAUGAGUUCGCGGCCUAUCAGCUUGUUGGCGGGGUAACGGCCCACCAAGGCGAUGACGGGUAGCUGGUCUGAGAGGAUGACCAGCCACACUGGAACUGAGACACGGUCCAGACACCUACGGGUGGCAGCAGUCGAGAAUCAUUCACAAUGGGCGAAAGCCUGAUGGUGUGACGCCGCGUGGAGGAUGACGGUCUUCGGAUUGUAAACUCCUGUCAUGUGAGAGUAAGUUCCAGGGAGUAACUGCCCGUGGAAUUGAGAGUAUCACAAGAGGAAGAGGCGGCUAACUCUGUGCCAGCAGCCGCGGUAAUACAGAGGCCUCAAGCGUUGUUCGGAAUCACUGGGCGUAAAGGGUGCGUAGGCGGCGCGGAAAGUCAGGGGUGAAAUCCCGGAGCUCAACUCCGGAACUGCCCUUGAUACUCCCGCGCUUGAGAACUGGAGGGGACAUCGGAAUUCACGGUGGAGCAGUGAAAUGCGUGGAUAUCGUGAGGAACACUAGUGGCGAAGGCGGAUGUCUGGACAGUAUCUGACGCUGAGGCACGAAGGCCAGGGGAGCGAACGGGAUUAGAUACCCCGGUAGUCCUGGCAGUAAACGGUGCACGCUUGGUAUGGGGGGAAUCGACCCCUCCCGUGCCGGAGCUAACGCGAUAAGUAUGCCGCCUGGGAAGUACGGUCGCAAGAUUAAAACUCAAAGGAAUUGACGG